UUUAUUUUGAAGGUUAAUCUGUUGUGUCGCCUUUCUUCAGUAAGGCAGUGGACCUCUAGCUGGAAAUGCGUGGCUUCAGUUCUUCUUCAGGUUGAAUAUUUAGCUUCUGUUCGACUUCAGGCACUUUAAAACUACAAGGCCCGUCUGCUAAGAAUGUAACUGAGCUAUCUGGGGGAAAGGGCAGCAGCGGAUGUGAUAAGCUAACCUGGCCGAAAAGGUGUGAGAUUCGGAGUAAUGCCUUAAGGAAUUCCAGGAGUCCAGGAAAUUCGUGUCGAAACCUCAAAAUUGAACAGUAGCUUGGAAUAAGCUAAGCUGGGUGUGAUACUGACUUACUGAAAACAACCUGGAGACCCCACAGAGUUAUAAACAUAGAAAAAUGCUAUAAACAUAGCAAAGCGCUAUGUUUAUAACUGAUGGCUUUGUACAGGAAAGAUACUGCUUGUCAAGGACAGAUUUAGCAAUCUACAGAGGCUAAGUCGCCUCUGAAUUGCUGAACGGGUUCAACACGCCUUACGGGUGUGUCUUGCCCGCAACGUUAUUUUUGCCCCGGCUUGAAUCUUCGAGGUAUAUUAGCAUUUGAGAAACUGCAAGGGGCGAUUAUCUCUCCAAUUCCUUCUGGUUAAACUUUUAAUAAGUUAUGUCUUCUAUAGUGGGAAGAGCGUGGGGGUGGGUGCGCGACUGGGGUCGUACCUCACAAAAUACCCCAACGUUGUGCCAAAAGCAGCAUGCAAAAGGUAACUGGGGAUCUUGGAUGUGGGGAGGGUGGAGAACAGGAAGUGACCAGAGUGCCCUAGGAGAGGAGUACUGGGAGGCACAGGAGAAACUGCAACCCAUGGAAAUAGAAGAUCUUGAUUCAGGAAAACCAGAGACAGAGCUACAGGUGUCCUGGUGGUGGAGCAAAUAUCUCCCUGCGUCAUAUCUGUGGUCAAGAAAAACUGCUAAAAACAGCCUGAGACAAAGAAAAGGUGAUCGUCGAAGGGGAGAUAAAGGUGAUGUUGAUGGGGACUUGUCUGAUUAUGGAACCCCUCCUCCAUCUCCCACUCCUUCUCAGCUGACCUCUCCAUUCAGAUUUUUCACAGAUAGCUGGAAUUUGGAGAUUAUCCCAGAGCACUACGAGAUUUGCUUCAACUUCCUUCGGCAUUUGUUUGACCUGUUUGUAGUUGCCUUCCUGUGGCUUGUGUCCCCUCCUGCCAAACUGAUCCUGGAGGUGUUUGGUGUCCAGGGAGCUCUGAGGCUGUGGUUUCAUGGCAUGGCCAUGUUUUUUGUCUCAACAGCUGGAAUGGCAGGAUUGCUGUGGUUGAUUCAGGAGUAUCUCCCUCAGUUUGCUUUGAUCUAUGGCAUCAUACAAGCAUUGGUGAUCUCUGUAAGUGUACGACAAAGUGUAAUCCUUGGAGUGGAAGAAGACAAAGAAAAUAUCCAGGAGGUGAAAGAGACUGGUGAAAAGAAAGACACCGCAGACAAUGGAGAUAUGCUUUUUUUCUAAGGAACUGCUGAAGACAAGGUUAGCCUAAGAAGAUGCAGGAAUUCAGCUGCUACAGCCUUUCUCCAAAUGUGUGACUCCACAGACACUGACAGAUUGUGUAUACCACUAAAUUCAUUAGUUAUAAUCAUAGUUCAUUUUUGAUUUAGUUUGGAGAAGUUGUUUCUCUUUGUUUUUCCUUAAAUAGUGUCUGUAUUCUGCAAACAUCUUCUCAUCACCAUGAAUGUUUAUAAUAAAACUAAAUGCUGAGAAUGUUGGGUAUAUGAGUGUUGAGGAGAAUGCUACUGUAUGUCAAAUAAGAGUCUAGAAAUAGCCAGGACUUUGCUAUUUUCUAAAUGUAGCAUUUACAUUUAAUUUGUUGUCAUUUACUAUUCACAUUGUAUACAGUGGCUCUCUAAAGUCUACUCCCACUGAUUAAAAUACCCAUUAUUGUGAAGUGAAAAAUAUGAUCAUGGUAAAUCAUUUAAAUAUUUUCCACAUAAUGACGUAUGUGCUGCACAGUUCAAGUGGACAAUAAACAAAUGCUUUAAAAGGAAGAGUAUAAAAGGUACAAUGACCCAGUUGCAGAAUUGUGUUUGUUUCAUCUUUUUCUUUGCACAGUUAAAUCCUUUGUCCUCUGCAAAUUAUUCAGCUGCUGGAGCAGCAGGAUUUACUGAAAGUGAAUUUGGGAAGCACUAACUGCAUAUUUAGUCUCACUACUGGCUGUAGUGCUAAAAAAUAUAAUGGUGCAUCUAAAGUAUGUAACUUAUGAAAAAUGUCAUGUAUUUAUUGAAACUGUCACAACAUGGUGACAGUAUGAGACAGAUAAUCUGACAUCAACCUCCUCUGCCUUCUCUCUCCCAGUGUUUCCAACACCACUCUGUCACAAACGUGCAAUCAGAGCCUGGAGUUUGGUGUCUGUGCUGUCAAUCACACAUGUACACAUGGUCUUUGCUACAUCUUCUUCUCAAGAGCACAGCCUGCCAUGAAUAACAAGGCUUGUUAGCACGGCCACCAAUGACAGCAGAUAAACUGUUUUCCUUUAAUGCUAAGUUGUUCCUCCACCAUUUGCACAUUGCACAUCAUACACAAGCAUGAUUGACAGUGCUAAGACACUCCUUUCUGUCUUUGAAUGAAAACUGCAUUUCUUAGAUGCCAACAGCAGUACAGGAAGGAGAUGGAGGAGAUCAGUUCUUUCACAGAUUAUCUGCCUUGUACUGUCACAACAUGUGCAACAUUUUUUUUUCAUUUUAAACUUAUUUUUUUUAAAUGACAGUUACAUACUGCAGCUUUAAAAGUCUGUUUAACAGAAGAGGAGAAGAGGACAAUCCAGUUGAGCCUUUAUUACACUUUGGUAUUGCAACUUUAACACCACACACUUCAAUCUAGAUUUUUUUUGUGAUGUACUAUAUUUUUGUUGGAUUGCAGUUGCGGUUUUGAAUAUCAAACUUUAGUUCAGGAAUUGAAAACUUAUGAGGCAUUUGGAGCAUCCUGUACACACAUUCCAAAACAUACUAUUCAUAGGAUAUAAAUAUGUCUUUUACUCUCCGUUGAUUACAUAUUUGGAUUAUAAUAAUAUAGAUGAUGUGGAAAUACAUGAUUGGUUCAUUGUUUUCCAAGCCACAGAGAAACUAGCUUUAAGUGAAAUAAAUUCUGCUUUCUCAAUAUUUUAAAGGGUGCCUUGAACUUAAUUUUUGAAUAAAUUAAAGUUUUGGUUGGUAAAUGUUUCAUUUUCACAUGUUCUUUCAAAACAGGUUUUUACUGUUGAAUGUUAAAGCAAUUGUCUUUUUCAGAAUUAUUAAACUAAUGAGCAGCACACUAAAGUAUUGUUGAUUCUUCAUGUUGAUUCAAAGGCACCAAAAUGGAAAUGAAUAAAAUCAUCUGGUUUCAUUGCAUGAUUCCACUCUCAGCACUUUUACUUUUUUUAGCCUGAAGAUAUGGAAUUAUUUGGAACUGUGUUGAUGCUUGUAAGAUAUUGAAGCCUGUCCAGUGAAAGUUGUGUUAUUGUUUUCAGGGCCAAUAAUACACAAUAAAGUGUAAUAAAAAUCAGUGUUCAAUAUUUUUCUGAGCACAAAAGUAAUUGGAUUAAAUUAUUGUAAUGUAUGGUAGCAAACUAUUAGCUAUACACUCUACCUUGAAUUUCUGUUGGACUUUUUUUUAAAUCAUAAAAAGGCUAGAAAGUGUAUUUUUUAUGUUCAAUAAAUAUUCUAAAGGUGAAUGAAAGUGUUCCUGAGUAAACCUGGAUGGCAAAUUUAAAGUAAACGUUUAAUUUGUCUCACAGAUAAACCUUUUGUAGCCUUUUCUCCACCUGCAUUUCUCCCAACUGUUUCAGUACAUUUAGGACAGACAACAUCCAAGGGUCUAUCUAUGCUAAACUUUUUUAUGUUUGCUUGUGGUUGUGGAACCUUUUUUGAAAGUAAAACUAAGACCCAAGAUAUUUUUAAUGAGCAGAAUUGCACCUUGCAAGGAGGACCUCCUUAUUGGCUGCACUGUAAAGUUUAUUGAUGGACCUUAGAGAAGUACAAUAUGUGUUUUAUGCUGUUCUGUAAUAUCUGCCUAUGAAAGAUGUGAAUACUUUGUAAUUAAAGUCAAUGUUUCUUGUA